CGACUUGAUGGACAUGAGUUUGAGUAAACUCUGGGAGUUGGUGAUGGACGGGGAGGCAUGGCAUGCUGCGGUCCAUUGGGUCGCAAAGAGUCAGACACGACUGAGUGACUGAACUGAGCUGAAGCAGACAACACACAAACCUGGGAGGAGCCACAAUGUUUAAGAAAUUCUACUCAUCGGUCUUCUUUAUUUGAGCUAUAUUUUUAUGUCACCCAGACAUGAAUGUCAUUGUUUGGUGACCCUUUUUUUCUUUUUCUUCCUUUUUCUUUCCCUCUGACCAGUGUUCUUUCUGCAGUACAAAUGUUGGAAAUAAAUGCGGGGUUGCCGAGUUAAUCUUAGUGAGAAUCUUUAUUUUGAGCUGGUGGCCAGGGUAGUUCCCCCUCCCCACUGGGAGAGAACCAGAGUGAGUCUUUUUCUUUGAGCCACAUGGCCCGAAGCAUGAGAGUGGAAACACUCGUGGUUUGUAAAGUCUUUUAUGACACAAACCAAUGUAUCUCUCGCUUACCUGCUUCUUGCAAGACAGACAGGGAAUGACAAAAUCACCAUCCUGGGAACAAACGAAGUGAAUCAUAAUACUUGAAAGUUAUUUAACUUUUGCUGUGUGAACAGGGAUGCACGUGUCUACACGUUUAUAUUUUGUGGAGGCUCUGUCCUCUCGUUUCUCCUAGAACAGGCCUUUAUUUUUAAUUGCAGUAACUUGACACGUAACACUAUAUUAGGUUCAGGUGUGGAACACAGUGAUUUGAUACCUGUUUAUUGUGAAAUGAUCACCCCAAUAAGCCUAGUUAACAUCUGCCUCUACACAUUUGUGUGUUAGUCACUCAGUCAUGUCAGACUCUUUGCAACCUGGUAGACUGUAGCCCGCCAGGCUCCCACGUCCAUGCGAUUCUCCAGGCAAGGAUACUGGAGUGGGUUGCCAUUCCUUCUCCAGGGUACCUUCCCGACCCAGGCAUCGAAACCAGGUCUCCUGUAUUGUAGGCGGAUUCUUAACCACCUGAGCUACCAGGGUCUCCACACAAAGUUUUACGGUGAGAACUUAUAGGAUCUAGUCUCUCAGCAGCAUUCAAACACGCAUACAGUCUUACUAACCCCAGUCACCGUGAUGCACAUUCCACCCCCGGGACUUUUUCUCUUAUAACAGGAAAUUUGGAUCUUUUGACCACCAUCAUCCAUGUUGCACAGCCCUUAAGCCCCAGUCUGGCAACCACCAGCCUUUCUAUGUAUCUAUGAGGCUGAGAUCUUUGUUUAGAUUCCACAUAGAAAUGAGGUCAUAUGCUAUGUGUCUUUAGCUGUCUGACUUAUUGGGUUGGCCACAAAGUUUGCUCAGGUUUUGGCCAACCCAGUAUUUCACGUAUCACAAUGGCCUCAAUUCCAUCCACGUUUCAAAUGGUAAGGUUUACUUCCUUUUUUAUGGCUGAAUAAUAUUCUGUUGUACAUACAUACUGCAUCUUCUGUGUCCAUUCAUCCACUGAUGGACAUUCAGAUUGCUUCUGUAUCUCAGCUGUUGUAAUUAAUGCUGCCGUGAACCUGACGUAAUGGAUGGGGCAUAGUUGAUUAGAAUAGAUUCAUAGGGCUUAUGUAGAUCAAUCAGUACUAUGGAUCCACCAUAGUCACCAAUACUUUAAUUUUAUCCUAAUGACUAUGUUAAACGCUUACAUAUGACUGACUUUUUGUUGUUCAGUCACUAAGUCAUGUAUGACUCUUUGCAACCCCAUGGACUGCAGCAUGCUAUUCUUCCCUGUCCUUCACCAUCUCCCAGAGUUUGUUCAAACUCAUGUCCCCUGAGCUGGUGAUGCCAUCCAGCCAUCUCAUCCUCUGUCGUCCCCUUUUCUUCCUGCCUUCAAUCUUUCCAAGCAUCAGUGACCCCACAAGAGACUGAGGCAGACUUGUCUGUGAGCGCUGGGAGUCUCUGGUGGAGGCAUGGAUUGACGGUGGCCCUCCGCGGGCUGAGGGGCUCUGGCAGCAGCAGUCCUGGGAGGCAUGGAGUGCUGGCACAAGUCCUCUUGGAGGAGGUCACCGUUAGCCCUACCAUGGAGUGAACCAUAUGGUAGGCCUGCCAUGGAGGCUGCAGACGCCAGGACAGGGCCGCCUCAGGCCAAACUACAGGGAGGGACACAGCCCCAGCCGUCAGUAGAAAACUGGAUUAAAGAUUUACUCACUGGAGCAAGACCUGGUUUUCCCCACAGCCAGUCCUUCCGAUCAGAAAGCUUCCAUAAGCCCUCUCACUCUCAUCCAUCAGAGGGCAGAUAGAAGAUGCAAGAAUUGCAGUCCCACGGCUUCCAGAACAAAACCCAGAAUCAACCAGGUAUCAGGAUCUGUUCCGGCACCUUAAAUGACUUAGUCCCCACAAAGCCCCUUCUGGUAGGUCUGAUUCCUUCCCUCCCCAUUUUACAGAUGAGGAAACUGAGGUGUAGAAGGAGUGAAGAACCAGCUCCCGCUCCCACAGCCGCACCUGGCAGAGCAGCUGCUGCUGGACCAGCAGUUCCUGGCCCCUCAGGGCGUCAGGAGUCAGUGACCCAGCAGGAAGGGUGGACCAUCUGCUGAUCUGGACCCUCUGCUGAUCUGUGGGACCGGGACUGCGAUCCCUGCAGGCGAUUCUCCAAUCCUGCCUGAGGGAUAGCCGUGCAGCUGCUCACAACUCAGUCUUCUUUCUACCCGGAUGACCACGCGUGGGAAGACUGGCUUCCCAAGAGGAUGACUUCCAUCUUGCUCUCUCUGGCUCUUCUUGUCUCUUGCUUUGAGGAAAACAUCUGUCAUGUUGGAAGAGCCUGGGUGGCAGGAACCUGAGUGUAGCCUGCGAUCCACAGCCCAGGAGGAAAUGAAUCCUUCCAGCAAUCACCCUGCUUCCUGCUCUUGGAGAUCUUCUCAACCUCUUGGAUAUUGUCUGGCUGUUUCUCUAGGGUGCACGUAGGUGAACACCCACAUGUGUAUGUGUAAGUAUGUCUGUUGCACAGGUGAGUCAGAAUGUGUGUUCAUGCAUGGGUCUAUAUAUGUAUGAGUGGUGUGCACAUGUAUGUGUGUGUGUGUCUGCUAUCUGCUCCACUGGAACUGGGAAGGACUAAGUUCAUCACCCUUUCAAAGCCUGAGGUGUUUAUACAGGCUCUAGCACAAGGGGCUUGAUUUUUUUAAGGCUUAAUUUUGUCCCAUGGAAAAAGGAAAAAGUAGAACCAAGCUGACAGGGGAUGAGAUGGUUGGAUGGCAUCACCAGCUCGAUGGACAUGAGUUUGAGCAAACUCUGGGAGAUGGUUAAGGACAGGGAAGCCUGGGUGCUGCAGUCCAUGGGGUUGCAAAGAGUCAGACAGGGACUGAGUGACUGAACAACAAAGAACCAAGCUGAAGAUGCGUUAGUGGUGUGGGCAUCUGGCUGGGCCCAAGACAGCAGCAGACCUGCCUGGCUGGCCUUGGCCCCUGCUGCCUGGAGCACUGACCUUAACGGCAGGGCUGAGAGGCCACCCGGGGCCUCUCCAAUGGAGGCGCUGCUGUUUUCAGGCUGGAGGCCGCGCCGUGCUCUCGCCUGCGCGGGGCUGACCCACUUCUGCGGAGGGAUCACCAGGUGGGCCUGCGCUAGCUGUUUCCUCUCCUGCGGCUUCUUAUUCUUGCCCGGCACACCGGAUGGCUGUGCCGCUUCUGAUCCCCGUGAUCAUCGAAGUUAGCCUGUGUGUGUGGUGUGUGCACGCAUGCAAAUGUACUACUGUUCUUUUGUUUUCGUAUUGGAGCCUUGCCAGGUACCCAUGUGUAGUCCGUGGGGUCUGGGGGGCAGGGGAGGGCGGCUGUCUGUUCCGCCACAGGGUCAUGACCACUGCCCGUCCCCUGCCCCCCCUGCCUCCCAUCCUGGUAAUGAUGCCACAGUCUGCCAGGCACCUGGGAGGGGACUCUCCCCUUGGGCAGGCUGUUGGGGGCGUGGAGCCUGGAACCGCCCUGCAGACUCCUCUCUCGUGUGUGUGUGCAGAAGAGGCGUGGAGAGCUGGCUGGGACCAGAGGGGUCACCCCCCGCCCCCGGAACUAGGUUGUGGGGAAGAUGGGGGUGGGUCUGGUGGCUUUGGAGAAGGUCACCAGCAUCUCCUUGGCUGAUGAGACGGAUUGGAUGAAGAUCAGGCUGGAUGAGAUGUGGUCUACGUGUGGCUGUCGGAUUGAUCAGUCGAGUGUCGCCCCAGCUUUACCGCAAUAACCUAUCUGAAAGACCACCCGAUGAUAUUCAGCAGGAGAAGGCGAGCCCACUGCACUUCCAUGGGAUUCUACUCGGAAACUGGUAGGCACCGACCGCAGCCCAUCCAGUUUCAGUUCCUGCCUGUGAGCUUAUUUUGAGUCUUAUUUACAUCAUAAUUUGAAAAAAAAAUUCGUUACCAGUUUUGAGGAAAAAGUAAAGGAAGUUAGAAAGCUCCCUUCUGGUCUUUCCAAGUCACCCGUUGGGAUUCCCUGGUGGCUCAGCUGGUAAAGAAUUCAGCUGCAAUGCAGGAGACCUAGGUUCAGUCCCUGGGUUGGGAAGAUCCCCUGGAGAAGGGAAAGGCUACCCACUCCAGUAUUCUGGCCUGGAGAAUCCCAUGGACUGUAUAGUCCAUGGGGUAGCAAAGAGUCGGACACGACUGAGCGACUUUCAUUUUCACUUUCAAGUCACCUGUUGGUCAUAGCGUUUUGGGCAAAUGUAGGUGAAGUCAAACAGGUUCUGCUUCUUUGUCCCUGUUGACCUGAUGCGUUGAUGCCUAAUAUAGAGUACUUGUAGUACGUUCCUUGGAUGGACCAUCUGUGGCGGAUUCAUUUUGAUAUUUGGCAAAACUAAUACAAUUAUGUAAAGUUUAAAAAUAAAAUUAAAUUAAAAAAAAAAUAAAAACACCUAGUUUGUCUACCUCAACUGGGACUCUAGACAGGAUUGUAUGGAAUAGUCUGAUUUGAUGGUUAAAAUACUGGAUUAAUGGCUUCCCAGGUGGUGCUAGUGUUAAAGAACCUGUCUGCCAAUGCAGGAGACUGAAGAGACAUGGGUUCCAUCCCUGGGUUGGGAAGAUCCCUGUAGAAGGGAACAGCUACCCAUUCCAGUAUUCUUGCUUGCAGAAUCCCAUGGACAGAGGAUUCUGGUGGGCUAUAAUCCAUGGGGUCACAGAGAGUUGGAUAUGACUGAGGCGACUGAGCAUGCAUGCUGGAUUAGGGUAUGAUUUGUACGACUAGAAUUUUUUUUGAUGUGAACCAUUUUGAAAGUCUUUCUUGAAUUUGUUACAAUAUUGUUUCUGUUUUUUUAUAUUUUGAGUUUUUAGUUGCAAGGAAUGUGGGGAUCUUAGCUACCUGACCAGUUGUCCACCCUGCACCACCUGCAUUGGAAGGUGAAGUCUUAACCCCUGGGCCACCAGGGAAGUCCCGCAUGUGACUGGCUUCACCUGGAGAGGCGGAACUGAAACUCCUGGGCCACAAAGGAGACCCUUACGCAGUGGCUCCAACCCCUCACGUGCCCCUUUGGCACGUGGGAUCGAACCUGCAGCCCCUGCUAGAGAAAGUGUUAACCACUGGACAGCCAGGUAAGUCCCCCCAUACCCCUCUUCGAUUAAACUUUCUAACGCCCCGAUAAUCACACCACUUUACAAGCUUCUCCUCAGGUGUUCUGCCCACUUACCCUUUCUUGGAAACAUGGAAGCCCAGCUGCUUUUUCCCUCCUUAUUUGUCUUUUUGUCCAAGCCUGUGUUUCCUCCCACUGCCCUGCUGCAGGUCCCUCCCUGAUUCCCCCAGAGCCUCUCUCUGCAGCUGAGAGUCACCCAUCAUCUCUUAGGGAGACUGCCAUCUCUGUUGACCCAGGGGCUGUUUAAUUUCCCUUGGUUCAAUCGUUCAAUUUUUUUUUAAAAAGUUAAAAUGGAUGUUGUGACUCUUGCGCUGAUGGAGGGCGGACGGUCAUGGCCAGGAAGCCUUUGGUUCUUGAGCCUCUGAUUCCUGGAGCUGGACUCAUGAGUGUGAUGCUGGCACCUCUCAGUCAGGAGCGUAAGGAGGCACUGGGGUUUCCAUCACAGAUGACGUGGCUGCCAGUGACGUUUGUCACCAAAACUGCUUGCCUCUUUCACCGGGGGCCUGGAGAUGGCCAGGAGGUGGUGAGGGGCAGAGAAACGGGUCAGACUUUCUGUUGAUAAGGAAAACCUCACAGCUUUUGACAGGAGUUAUUACGGGAUGCUUACUAACAAGGUACAAAUGAAACUUACUUUUUGUUUUUUAAAAUAAGAUGUUACCUUUAGAUUUAAAAUACAAUUUAAACAUUUUAAAAUUUAAUAUGUGCAUUUUACUUUUGCUUGUUUUAUUUAUUUAUUGCAGUAUAGUUGAUGUCAUGGUCCGUGUGUGGGUUGGAAAAGAAUUUCCAGACAUGAGGCAAGAUGAGAGGAGAAUAAAGUUUAUUAGCAUGGGAGAUGCUGCUAGAACAGCAGCCUGGCUAAAAGGAGAGCUGACCCGUUUCUCAGGCUAGUAGCUGAUUUUUAUAGCCUGGAGACAGAGGAAGUUCCUACUGGAAUGGUGGCGAUAGUUGAUUGGUUAAGAUGCUAUAGGGGUGGGUACUAGGGUUGUUGAAGGAAGGGGGACCCCUUCUAGGCCCCAAGAGUGGGCUCCAGUCAAACACUCGGGAAUGAAUUGUCCGAGGAGACACAUGAGCUGACGAAGCAAGAGACGGUUGGGAAGGGGCUCCAGGGGUGAGUAGCAGGCUAAAGGAACCUAGCAGGCCAGCUCUGCCAUGGGGCUCGCAGUUUCAGGUUUUAAGGUGAUGGGGUUAGUUUCCGGAUUGUCUCUGGCCAAUCACUUUGACAGAAUCCUUCCUGGUGGCACACGCAUUGCUCAGCCGAGAUGGAUUUCAACAAGAAGGCUUCUGGGAGGGGAUCAGACACGUGAUGUCUCCUUUUGAGCUUUCCUGAACUCUUCUGGUUGCUAAUGGUUUAUUAGUUCUGUGCUCUUUGCCAGGACUUCCUGUGUAAAAUAACUCACACAAAUGGUUACUAUGCUGCCUGGCCAGGGUGGGCAGUUUCAGUCAGUAUGUUUCUCCGAACAGGUGGGUAUUUUACCUAAUAUGGGGAUCGGGGAACUGGCCAGUUUAGAUCUGGAGGCUCGUGGUAACAGUUGCUAUGGGGCUUGGACAGUUCCAGAUUUUUUGCCCUGUGACCUUGGCUCCACACCUGUGACCUUGGAAUAGGGCUCCACAGUGGAUGUAUAAUAUUAUAUAAGUUACAGGUGUGUAAUACAGCACUUCACAAUUUUUAAAGGUUACACUUCAUUUAUAGUUAUAAAAUAUUUGCUGUAUUUCCUACAUUGUACAAUAUAUCC